rnacentral:rRNA from 1 species
UACAGAGGAGCCAAGCGUUGUCCGGAUUGACUGGGCGUAAAGCGCACGCAGGCGGACGCGCGCGUGGGGUGUGAAAUCUGGCCGCUUAACGGCCAGGCGCCAUCCCAUACGGCGCGUCGGAGUGAUGCAGAGGUCGGUGGAAUUGCCGGUGUAGUGGUGAAAUGCGCAGAUAUCAGGAGGAACACCGGUGGCGAAGGCGGGGUCUCUGGGCCGAUACUGACGCUGAGGAGCGAAAGCGUGGGGGAGCGAACAGG